rnacentral:tRNA from 1 species
ACCGAAAUAUAUUAGUUGGGGGAGCGUUAGACUAUAGAUCGGAAUGUCCCUGGUUCGAUUCUGGGUUCCAGCA